rnacentral:rRNA from 1 species
CCUACGGGAGGCAGCAGUCGAGAAUCAUUCACAAUGGGGGAAACCCUGAUGGUGCGACGCCGCGUGGGGGAAUGAAGGUCUUCGGAUUGUAAACCCCUGUCAUGUGGGAGCAAAUUAAAAAGAUAGUACCACAAGAGGAAGAGACGGCUAACUCUGUGCCAGCAGCCGCGGUAAUACAGAGGUCUCAAGUGUUGUUCGGAUUCACUGGGCGUAAAGCGUGCGUAGGCUGUUUCGUAAGUCGUGUGUGAAAGGCGCGGGCUCAACCCGCGGACGGCACAUGAUACUGCGAGACUAGAGUAAGGGAGGGGGAACCGGAAUUCUCGGUGUAGCAGUGAAAUGCGUAGAUAUCGAGAGGAACACUCGUGGCGAAGGCGGGUUCCUGGACAUUAACUGACGCUGAGGCACGAAGGCCAGGGGAGCGAAAGGGAUUAGAUACCCCAGUAGUC